UCCGUUAUGGUGUAGUGGUUAACAUUAUCGCCUCUCAUGCCUCUGCGUAGUCGGUACGCGAUAGCCCAGGGUUCGAUUCCCUGUAACGGAA